GAUGAACGCUGGCGGCGUGCCUAAUACAUGCAAGUCGAGCGAAGCGGGGACGGGUGAGUAACACGUGGAUAACCUCCUAUAAGACUCGGAUAACUUCGUGAAACCGGAGCUAAACCGGAUACUUAUGGGUUGAUCCGUGCUGCAUUAGCUAGUUGGUAAGGUAACGGCUUACCAAGGCAACGAUGCAUAGCCGACCUGCGAGGGGGAUCGGCCACACUGGAACUGAGACACGGUCCAGACGCCUACGGGAGGCAUCAGUAGGGAAUCUUCCGGAGUGGGCGAAAGCCUGACGGAGCAACGCCGCGUGAGUUAUGAAGGUCGGCGGAUCGUAAAACUCUGUUAUUAGGGAAGCGGUACCUAAUCAGAAAGCCUCUGCUAACUACGUGCCAGCAGCCGCGGUAAUAC
rnacentral:rRNA from 1 species